AAGCGUUAUCCGGAAUUAUUGGGCGUAAAGCGUCCGCAGGCGGCCAACAAGUCUGCUGUUAAAAAGUGGAGCUUAACUCCAUCAUGGCAGUGGAAACUGUUGGGCUCGAGUGUGGUAGGGGCAGAGGGAAUUCCCGGUGUAGCGGUGAAAUGCGUAGAUAUCGGGAAGAACACCAGUGGCGAAGGCGCUCUGCUGGGCCAUCACUGACGCUCAUGGACGAAAGCCAGGGGAGCGAAAGGGAUUAGAUACCCCUGUAGUCCUGGCCGUAAACGAUGAACACUAGGUGUCGGGGGAAUCGACCCCUCCGGUGUCGUAGCCAACGCGUUAAGUGUUCCGCCUGGGGAGUACGCACGCAAGUGUGAAACUCAAAGGAAUUGACGGGGGCCCGCACAAGCGGUGGAGUAUGUGGUUUAAUUCGAUGCAACGCGAAGAACCUUACCAGGGUUUGACAUCCUGCGAAUCUCUUGGAAACUUGAGAGUGCCUUCGGGAGCGCAGUGACAGGUGGUGCAUGGCU
rnacentral:rRNA from 1 species